AUAGGGCCCGAUGGACUCGUUUCCGAACUACCGAACCGAGCCGUGACGAAAAAAAAAGUCCACCCUCCCUCGAUCCAGCACCUUCCCCGAUCUCCCACAUCCCGCACCUCCCGCACCCGACAGCGACGCGCCCGCCGCCCCGUCCCCAACCGGCGGCGCCGCCACCACCAACCCCACAACCAGAGACGCGACCGUCGCUGCCCCGCCACGCCCCAACCGGAGACACCGCCGCCCCAAGAUCCCGCCGCCGCCACCACCUGCGCACAUCGCCGGCGUUGUGGUCCCCGGCUUUCCCCACCGCCGCGCCCAGCCUCCCACGCGCUCGCCUCCUGCCUCUGCGCACCGCCGCCCUACCUCCCGCGCGCUGCAGCCUGCUACCGCGCACCACCGUCCCCCAUCCAGCCAUCCCACGCGCUGCUUCACCUCCGUGCGCUUCUGCCUUCUUCCACUGCGGGGAUGCCCUCCCUCUCCCCGGCGUUGCUGGAAAAACACCGGCGACAGGCUCCUCUGUGACCGCCGACCUCACCAGUGCGACUUUUAUUGUUUUUGUUGAAGUUCAGAUUUAACGUACAGAGAAGAUUUAGCGUUCAGAACGCAGACUCCUAUCAACAUGGAUUUAAUUUUCGCGUUGCUGAUUCAUGUAUCUUGUUUCUAUGUUUUGUGUUUGGGAAGUGCAAAUUUUUGUGUUGGUGAGGUUAAUUCAUCAUGCGUCACAGAUUCUGACAAGGGGACGGUAGCAGUUUGCCGUGCUGAAAAGGGGCAUUUAAGUUGAUGAAUGCUCUAGAGUAAAUGCUUUCUUUGUUGGUACUCCACCAGUACUAGAUUGAAUCUAAUAUUUUUGUAGAAAUGAUCAUUUGCAAGUUACAGUACGAGCUACAAUUUUUUCAGUUGAAAACUUUACUGUAUGUGGACAGAUGAUGACCUCUUUUGGCAUUUGCAGCUCCAACCUUUGCGCCUAGUGCCUGAUAUUAUAGCAGAAAAAUCGGAAGAUAUUUGUUGCCACGGAUUGAAAGGUGAAAGGGAUGGGUGAUGGGCUGAUGGCUACUGCAUCUUCCGUCAAACUAUUUCUUCUCGUCUACUUGCAGGAUCCCAACACCAAUUUCUUCGGCUUCCAUUCUUCAUCAGGCUAACAGGGAAAAGCUUCUUCAUCACUGCAUCAUCAGGAAGGGAGGUGCCUCUUAUUUGUGCUGUUCUUGGAUGCGAUGGUGCCGUGGAGGAUAGAGGCGCGCCUGGCGGAGACGGUGUGAGUGGUGCUCCUUGGCUGGCUCUCGUCUUGCCUCACCGUCGUCGGCUACUUCAGGAUGCAUCUCACGCUCAUGGAGGUGGUGGUGUCUCCAGCGAGCUCCUCCAUCCCCGAGUGUGACACAUCCACGGCAGCGUCCUCCCUCACAUUCCCUUCCCCAUCCGUUUUCUUCUCUAGGUGGCCGCGCUGCAGGCGCUCGUCCUCUUCGAAGGUCCAGCUACCAGCUUCUGCAAAUCGUCCCAAUUAUACUUGCUACUGUGAUGCAACAACAGACCUUGCGAGAAAGAGCUAGUUUGAUCAGCAAUAAAGAAGUGCAAACCACCAAGCCGCUGGCUAUUGUAAUCCUGUUCGAAGGCCAUACUAGGAAUGCUUGAAGUAUCUUCUGAGUUUGGUCAAAAACUCUUUCCAAUGGGUUUGAUUUCCGUGUGUUAUUUAGUAAUGCUAAGCUUUCCCGCAUGUUGAUGCAUCCCACGUGCACAUCUUCAACCUCAUUCAUGUAUGUUCUGUGUGUAGAAAACUGGUCAAUGAAAUUUAUGUUCUGAGAAGUUCACAUAUUAUUGUGUGGAAAGGUCAUGUAUUGGAACUAUCCAGUACGUGAAAAAAUAUGGAAAUCACAAUUUUCUACAGUAA